UUAACCUCAAACAAAUUCUUUUUUUUUUUCACUUUUCCGCAAACUUUGUUACAAACAUACAAUUCUUUAAAUAUAGACUGUAAAACUCCAUUUGCAAAAGUCUGCUAUUGUAAGGAGUGCACACUAGCAGGAAGGAUUCUUAACUUUUUCUAUGCGUUUUCUGUCAGUUUUGCUAGUUAGUGGUAAAUACGGGACCCGCUGUUUUACAGGCCUGUCCGAAGCUUGUGGCUGUAUUCACAUUGCUCUUUUGAAGCAGCCCUGCAUGUAUCAAAAUUGUUCAGAAUCUGAGCUUCAACCUACAGGCAGUGAGAUCAACAGCCCGUCUGGACUCUGCUUUUUGAACAGUUUUCAGGAAGUGUGAUUUCUGGACGGGUACUGCACUUCACAGAUUUGUUUGAAUUGCCCAUGCAGCUCUAUGUUAAAGUGCAUUCUUCUUUUCAAAAAUAAGCA